ACCUGCGGUUCUUGCCUGGUUUCCCACUGAAGCUAAGCAGGGUUGAGCCUGGCCAGUAGAUGGAUAGGAGACCUCCUGGGGAAAGCUAAGGCUGCUGCUGGAA
rnacentral:rRNA from 1 species